rnacentral:rRNA from 1 species
AGGAAGCGAGAAGUCGACGCGCCGACCCCCGCAAGGGGGGCGAGGCGUCCGGCCCUCCGCGAGCAUCCGCGUGGGUGUGGGUUACGGACCCCGUCCGAUCCCGUUCCCACCGCGGGGCUGUCCGCGAUCAUGGAGGUGUCCUCGGACGGCGUCGAAUCACUCAAAGUUCUCCAGUCCGCGACGCUACGGCUUGGAUGGUCCACCCGACCCGUCUUGAAACACGGACCAAGGAGUCUAACAUGCGCGCGAGUCGUUGGGUCGGACACGCUCCGCUAAACCCAUAGGCGCAAUGAAAGUGAAGGCCGCCGUUCGGGCGGCCGAGGGAGGACGGGGCCGGCCGGGCGCUCCGGUGCUCGGCGGUCCCCGCACCCCCGGGGCGUCUGAUCCCUCAUCGCGAGGGGAGGCGCACCCAGAGCGCACACGUUGGGACCCGAAAGAUGGUGAACUAUGCCUGGCCAGGACGAAGUCAGGGGAAACCCUGAUGGAGGUCCGUAGCGAUUCUGACGUGCAAAUCGAUCGUCGGAGCUGGGUAUAGGGGCGAAAGACUAAUCGAACCAUCUAGUAGCUGGUUCCCUCCGAAGUUUCCCUCAGGAUAGCUUGCGCUCGGAGGAGAGUCUCAUCCGGUAAAGCGAAUGAUUAGAGGCCUUGGGGCCGAAACGGCUUCAACCUAUUCUCAAACUUUAAAUGGGUGAGAACUCCGGCUUGCUCGACCGAUCGAAGCCGGAGACGGGGCCGUCCCUCGGGGCGGACCCCCGGGAUCGGAGUGCAUAGUGGGCCACUUUUGGUAAGCAGAACUGGCGCUGUGGGAUGAACCAAACGACGGGUUAAGGCGCCCGAAUCGACGCUCAUGGGAAACCAUGAAAGGUGUUGGUUGCUUAAGACAGCAGGACGGUGGCCAUGGAAGUCGGAAUCCGCUAAGGAGUGUGUAAUAACUCACCUGCCGAAGCAACUAGCCCUGAAAAUGGAUGGCGCUGAAGCGUCGUGCCUAUACCCGGCCGUCGCGGCAGGGCGGACCCGGCCUCGCGUCGGGUGCCGCUUGAUGCGGCGACGAGUAGGAGGGUCGCGGCGGCGCGCGCAGAAGGGUCUGGGCUCGAGCCUGCCUGGAGCCGCCGCCGGUGCAGAUCUUGGUGGUAGUAGCAAAUACUCCAGCGAGGCCCUGGAGGACUGAUGUGGAGAAGGGUUUCGUGUGAACAGCCGUUGCACACGAGUCAGUCGAUCCUAAGCCCUAGGAGAAAUCCGACGCCAACGGCGACGGGAGAAAUUUUGAAUGAGAAAGAAACCCGUUGAUCGGGCGAAAGGGAAUCCGGUUCCUAUUCCGGAACCCGGCAGCGGAACCGCUGUUUGUCGGGCCCUCACAAGGGGUUCGUCAGGGUAACCUAAAAGGGCCCGGAGACGCCGUCGGGAGCCCCGGAAAGAGUUUUCUUUUCUGCAUGAGCGUUCGAGUUCCCUG